AUGCCGGGGAAGCUGGGGCUGGAGCAGACGUUCUCUUCUGAGCUCGUCAUCCACUUGGUUGUCUGUAUCUGCAACCUGAAGCUACAGUGUCCUGCAUGCACUGCACUCCAGCCCGGGCGGCAGAGCGAGUCUCCGUCUCAAAAAAAAAAAGAAACAGUAAGAGAAGGAGCUUCCCUUUCCAUCCGCCAUCUGCGGUGGAGCUGCCACCAAAACGCAGAUUUUCAUAAAAUUACGGGGAAGACCAUCACCCUUGAGGUCGAACCCGUGGAUACGAUAGAAAAUGUAAAGGCCAAGAUCCAGGAUAAGCAAGGAAUUCCUCCUGAUGAGCAGAGACUGAUCUUUGCUGGCAAGCAACUGGAAGAUGGAUGUACUGUCUGACUACAACAUUCGAAAGGAGCCCACUCUUCAUCUUGUGUUAAGACUUCCUGGUGGUGCUAAGAAAAAGAAGGAGUCUUACCCCAUUCCCAAGAGGAAGAAGCACAAGAGAAAGAAGGUGAAGCUGGCUGUCCUCGAGUAUUAGAAGGUGGAUGAGAAUGGCAAAAUGAGCUGUCUUCGUCGAGAGUGCCCAUCUGAUGAAUGUGGUGCUGGAGUGUUUAUGGCAAGUCACUUUGACAGACAUUAUUGUGGCAAAUGUUGUCUGACUACUGCUUCAACAAACCAGAAGACAAGGAACUGUGUGUGAGUUAAUAAAAGACAUAAACUUAAAAAAAGGAGAGAGAAGGGAUUUUCAAAGAAGACAUUUGAGGUAGUGAAUGCCACCUUCCCCCAUUUUAAACUGUCGCAUGAGGGAAAGUAUAUUUUUUGAAUCUGUAAAUCCUUUAAUUAAAGAAAAUUAAUUACCAGUAAAAAGGGGACUGACUGUUUAAAUUGGUUAUGGUUUUAGUACUGGAACGUUAACACAUCUGACUGUCUAAAGCUUAUCUUCUAUUCUUAGCUACCAGUUUGUGAAGAACAAUUUUUUAGCGACUUGUCUUCAUAAGAAAUAUACCUUAAAAUUUUUAUUAGUAAGGACAUUUGGAAUUUAUUUUUAAUCUUGCAUUAUCUGAUGCAAAUUAUUAUAUGUCUGUUUUAUUGCUUUUUAUGGCAUUAGAAGUAUCCAGUAAUACUUUUUUUUAAAGAAAAAUUUCAACAGAAAAACACAAAUUAUUGCAUUUGUCGUUGCGUGCUGUAAGUUAGACAGAUCAUUGGGUGCCUCACUGUUUCUUUUACCUGUGGCACCUGGACUUAGCCGGGAAUUCUCAGAGGAUGCCGUGCUGUGGUGGCCUUGAUUCCUUGUGUGGGAGCCAGUGUCUUCCAUUGUGUUCUCCUUCAUAACUCAAGAGAGUCCCCAUGGAUAACUGGCCUGAAUUUAUGACCCGGCUUACUGAUUAACUCAUGGGAUUGUUACAGCUAAAUAAAGCUUAAUGAGUAAUUUUUAAUCCAUCCCACUAUGUGGGAGAAGAAUAUCACUUCUUUGCAUUUUAGAAGUAGAGCCCCAAACUAAAUAACCGUCAGAGAUUUGUCUUUGUUUUUUUUGUAUGUUUUUUUCAGUGAAAACAUUCUUUAUUAGUAAACAGACGUUUCAAACUUUUUGAUUACGUACAUCAUGCAAAAUGACUGACCUCACGCGUGGUUGUCUGUUCAUUGUGACAUCUUUUUUGAGAUGAUUAUAAAUUUAAGAUGACUGCAGUAGUAAAAAUAAUUCAUGAAAAUGACUCUCAAUGAAGCAAAACACUACAUAGCACACAUGAAAUACUGUUCAUCCUUCCUGGAUGUUUAAUUCUCUCCUAAUAUAAAUAUUAUAAUAUUUUGGAAGACUAAUAUAUACAAAACUGGCAGUUGUUUUUGCAUGUGCAUCUAUAGGCACUGAAAUGAUAAAAACAAGAAAAUUUCAAAUAAUUUUACAAGAUUUGGUUGUUUUUCCUGUUUUGUUAAUCCAAAACAGGACAAUGCCCUUUGAUUUACAAUGUUCAAGAUGAUUUUGACCCAUGAAAAAGUUGUUUUACCCUGGUAAUCUUUUUGAAAUGGAGCUGGUUGAUAUACAUUAUCCAGUUUGUUUUCAGUAAGUGAAAAGGAAUAGGGCUUGUUUUGAGAAGAAUUCCUCUAAAUGAUGGUGCUGAGAAAACUUCUCUGCAGUGGUGGGCUCACCACUUUCAUCCUGUGGUAGUUCUGGUAGCACUCCCAGUAUGAAAACCCCUAGCACAGGUAAAUUCACCGCUUUGGAAUGAGCAGUGGCCCUGGAGAAAGGUGAAUUCCAAAUCUAGUAGCACAUUCAAGUCACCUGGCAGCGAGUGGGCAUCAAAGACUUCUUGGUACUUGGGGUGCUGCUGUG